rnacentral:misc_RNA from 1 species
GAUGAAGAACGCAGCGAAAUGCGAUAACUAAUGUGAAUUGCAGAAUUCAGUGAAUCAUCGAAUCUUUGAACGCACCUUGCGCCCUUUGGCCAUUCCGAAGGGCAUGCCUGUUUGAGUAUCAUGAACACCUCAACUCUUUAUGGUUUUCCAUGAUGAGCUUGGACUCUGGGGGUUUUGCUGGCUCACAGUCGGCUCCUCUAAAAUGAAUCAGCUUACCAGUGUUUGGUGGGUAUCAUGGGUGUGAUAACUAUCUACGCUUGUGGUUUUUCCACCAGGUAACCUUCAGCAGUGGAGGUUCGCUGGAGCUCAUAGAUGUCUCUCCUCAGUGAGGACAGCCCUUUGAAUGUUUGAUCUCAAAUCAGGUAGGACUACCCGCUGAACUUAAGCAUAUCAAUAAGCGGAGGA